ACGUCACCCUGUAGACGGGCGGGAAACACUUCACGUCAUCAUUUUGAACAUGGUCGUCAUUGCGAUCAGAUGGAUUAAGUGUCAGUGCAAUUACUGGACUUUUACAGCGAGACGAUGGAUACAUUUUGUGUUCGUGACAGACCUUGUAAGAGAACGAAAUGGAAAGAAAUGGAAGACACUAUAGGAAUAAAGUGGCUGUGGAGCGCAGUUUCAUCCAGUGUCCUCGCGUGAGUCACUCCCGGGCAGCCUUGCAGUGUGAGAGCAUGUGAGAACAAACAGCGCGCCACUACCAGUACACCUCAAAUGGCCAGCAGGAGACAAAAACAAGAAAAAAAGAAACACUCCCACUUUUUCUUCAUAUAUGGCUGUGCGUUCCGUGCGAAAGGAGGACGGCGGGAGCAGGAGGUGAAGGAGGAGGCUGGGGGAGGCUGGGGCAAGCUGGAGGAUGCAAGGCCGUCUGUCCCCUGAGGUUCACACCGCGGGACUUUGGCUUCCAGACUGACGUGGACUUUCCUGUGGGUUUUAAAAGGAGGCAAUGCUCUUAAGGUGCCGAAGGUGUGGAGAAUUAAGUCUUUAGGGUGCGUUGAGGGAAUAAAGUGCUUAGUUCUUAGCAGUGCUUAAGAAAUUGAGUCCAGUUUUUCUUCUUUUUUUUUACUCUCUUGGGCAUUUUUUUUUUCUCCACAUCAUCUCC